rnacentral:rRNA from 1 species
UACGUAGGGUGCAAGCGUUGUUCGGAAUUAUUGGGCGUAAAGGGCUCGUAGGCGGUUUGUCGCGUCGGGAGUGAAAACACUGGGCUUAACUCAGUGCUUGCUUCCGAUACGGGCAGACUAGAGGUAUGCAGGGGAGAACGGAAUUCCUGGUGUAGCGGUGAAAUGCGCAGAUAUCAGGAGGAACACCGGUGGCGAAGGCGGUUCUCUGGGCAUUACCUGACGCUGAGGAGCGAAAGUGUGGGGAGCGAACAGG